AGGAAUCUGCCUAUUAGUGGGGGACAACAUCUCGAAAGGGAUGCUAAUACCGCAUACGUCCUACGGGAGAAAGCAGGGGAUCACUUGUGACCUUGCGCUAAUAGAUGAGCCUAAGUCGGAUUAGCUAGUUGGUGGGGUAAAGGCCUACCAAGGCGACGAUCUGUAGCGGGUCUGAGAGGAUGAUCCGCCACACUGGGACUGAGACACGGCCCAGACUCCUACGGGAGGCAGCAGUGGGGAAUAUUGGACAAUGGGGGGAACCCUGAUCCAGCCAUGCCGCGUGUGUGAAGAAGGCCUUAUGGUUGUAAAGCACUUUAAGCGAGGAGGAGGCUCUUUUGGUUAAUACCCAGAAUGAGUGGACGUUACUCGCAGAAUAAGCACCGGCUAACUCUGUGCCAGCAGCCGCGGUAAUACAGAGGGUGCAAGCGUUAAUCGGAUUUACUGGGCGUAAAGCGCGCGUAGGCGUCCAAUUAAGUCAAAUGUGAAAUCCCCGAGCUUAACUUGGGAAUUGCAUUCGAUACUGGUUGGCUAGAGUGUGGGAGAGGAUGGUAGAAUUCCAGGU
rnacentral:rRNA from 1 species